rfam:Carnobacterium iners strain LMG26642 genome assembly, contig: Ga0073236_12
CUAAGUUAAGUACUAUUACCGAAGACAGUAGGUGGCCUUGUGCCUUAAAUUCCUGCCGAGGAUGAUAUGUGAAAGCAUACAACACUCCCUCUAUGUCUACGGUGACAUGGAGUUUUUGCGUUGUGCA